GAUGAAGAACGCAGCGAAAUGCGAUACGUAAUGUGAAUUGCAAAUUCAGUGAAUCAUCGAGUCUUUGAACGCACAUUGCGCCCCCUGGUAUUCCGGGGGGCAUGCCUGUCCGAGCGUCAUUGCUGCCCUCAAGCACGGCUUGUGUGUUGGGCCCCGUCCUCCGAUCCCGGGGGACGGGCCCGAAAGGCAGCGGCGGCACCGGGUCCGGUCCUCGAGCGUAUGGGGCUUUGUCACCCGCUCUGUAGGCCCGGCCGGCGCUUGCCGAUCAACCCAAAUUUUUAUCCAGGUUGACCUCGGAUCAGGUAGGGAUACCCGCUGAACUUAAGCAUAUCAAUAAGCGGAGGA
rnacentral:misc_RNA from 1 species